GACGAACGCUGGCGGCGUGCUUAACACAUGCAAGUCGAACGGAAAGGCCCUGCUUUUGUGGGGUGCUCGAGUGGCGAACGGGUGAGUAACACGAGAGUAACCUGCCCUUGACUUUGGGAUAACUUCAGGAAACUGGGGCUAAUACCGGAUAGGAGCUCCUGCUGCAUGGUGGGGGUUGGAAAGUUUCGGCGGUUGGGGAUGGACUCGCGGCUUAUCAGCUUGUUGGUGGGGUAGUGGCUUACCAAGGCUUUGACGGGUAGCCGGCCUGAGAGGGUGACCGGCCACAUUGGGACUGAGAUACGGCCAGACUCCUACGGGAGGCAGCAGUGGGGAAUAUUGCACAAUGGGCGGAAGCCUGAUGCAGCAACGCCGCGUGCGGGAUGACGGCCUUCGGGUUGUAAACCGCUUUCGCCUGUGACGAAGCGUGAGUGACGGUAAUGGGUAAAGAAGCACCGGCUAACUACGUG
rnacentral:rRNA from 1 species